CAGAUAUUCCGCGCUCUCAGAAGUAUAUUAUAUGGUUUUGCGGCUUUCUUUGACGCUUGCAACCGGCAUCGCCUCAGCAUUUAUAAUCACGUACUGGGUUUUAUUCAAAGACAACCUGCCCAUGGAGUCCCGAGAUCACGAGUCUCAGAUCCGGGACGUAAUAAAUCAACAGAUGGACAUCAAUAUCUGACAGAGGCGAGCAGGAGUCCAAAGUAAAUGGAGUCUUAUCUCAUUGUGAUGACUUUUUAACUUGCACUUCCAUACGGAUAGGUUAGAGC